rnacentral:rRNA from 1 species
CGAACGCUGGCGGCGUGCUUAACACAUGCAAGUCGAACGGAAAGGCCCUGCUUUUGUGGGGUGCUCGAGUGGCGAACGGGUGAGUAACACGUGAGUAACCUGCCCUUGACUUUGGGAUAACUUCAGGAAACUGGGGCUAAUACCGGAUAGGAGCUCCUGCUGCAUGGUGGGGGUUGGAAAGUUUCGGCGGUUGGGGAUGGACUCGCGGCUUAUCAGCUUGUUGGUGGGGUAGUGGCUUACCAAGGCUUUGACGGGUAGCCGGCCUGAGAGGGUGACCGGCCACAUUGGGACUGAGAUACGGCCCAGACUCCUACGGGAGGCAGCAGUGGGGAAUAUUGCACAAUGGGCGGAAGCCUGAUGCAGCAACGCCGCGUGCGGGAUGACGGCCUUCGGGUUGUAAACCGCUUUCGCCUGUGACGAAGCGUGAGUGACGGUAAUGGGUAAAGAAGCACCGGCUAACUACGUGCUAGCAGCCGCGGUGAUACGUAGGGUGCGAGCGUUGUCCGGAUUUAUUGGGCGUAAAGGGCUCGUAGGUGGUUGAUCGCGUCGGAAGUGUAAUCUUGGGGCUUAACCCUGAGCGUGCUUUCGAUACGGGUUGACUUGAGGAAGGUAGGGGAGAAUGGAAUUCCUGGUGGAGCGGUGGAAUGCGCAGAUAUCAGGAGGAACACCAGUGGCGAAGGCGGUUCUCUGGGCCUUUCCUGACGCUGAGGAGCGAAAGCGUGGGGAGCGAACAGGCUUAGAUACCCUGGUAGUCCACGCUGUAAACGGUGGGUACUAGGUGUGGGGUCCAUUCCACGGGUUCCGUGCCGUAGCUAACGCUUUAAGUACCCCGCCUGGGGAGUACGGCCGCAAGGCUAAAACUCAAAGGAAUUGACGGGGCCCCGCACAAGCGGCGGAGCAUGCGGAUUAAUUCGAUGCAACGCGUAGAACCUUACCUGGGUUUGACAUGGAUCGGGAGUGCUCAGAGAUGGGUGUGCCUCUUUUGGGGUCGGUUCACAGGUGGUGCAUGGCUGUCGUCAGCUCGUGUCGUGAGAUGUUGGGUUAAGUCCCGCAACGAGCGCAACCCUUGUUCACUGUUGCCAGCACGUUAUGGUGGGGACUCAGUGGAGACCGCCGGGGUCAACUCGGAGGAAGGUGGGGAUGACGUCAAGUCAUCAUGCCCCUUAUGUCCAGGGCUUCACGCAUGCUACAAUGGCUGGUACAGAGAGUGGCGAGCCUGUGAGGGUGAGCGAAUCUCGGAAAGCCGGUCUCAGUUCGGAUUGGGGUCUGCAACUCGACCUCAUGAAGUCGGAGUCGCUAGUAAUCGCAGAUCAGCAACGCUGCGGUGAAUACGUUCCCGGGGCUUGUACACACCGCCCGUCAAGUCAUGAAAGUUGGUAACACCCGAAGCCGGUGGCCUAACCGUUGUGGGGGAGCCGUCGAAGGUGGGACUGGUGAUUAGGACUAAG